CGCUGACCUGUGUCAAAAUCAUGCCCUGUAUUUUCCAUUUAAAUUUUGUAACUGCCUUGAUGUUUGUUAAAGACCAGACAUGCUGCUCUACUGCUAGACGCUCAAACUUUCUAACUUCAUGAAAUCUUAAUUUAUAAAUAAAUUUAUAGAUUUAUGACAUCGUAAUUAUACAAAGUUUUAACUCAGUGUAAGAAAGGCUGUGUUACAAGUAAGUGUUCCGUUGUCCAUUUGAAACACUAAAAUUGACCGAGGCCCGCACAGUCGAUCAGCUGACAGCAAAGCCUGCUGCGCUGGCUGCUGCUUUCGGUUAGAAAACCCUGCCAGCCCUCCUGUAACCUGUUCUCUGAUGCAACCGAUUUAGGGGUCUACAUCCAGGGACUGUUCUUGGAUGGAGCACGCUGGAACCGAGAAACUAAAAAGCUAAGAGAAUCUCAUCCGAAAAUCCUUUACGAUACGGUGCCUGUGAUAUGGUUAAAGCCCUGUAAGAAAGCAGACGUUCCAUAACGACGCGGUUACCUGGCUCCAGUGUACAAGACCAGCAAGCGAAGAGGAAUCCUGUCAACCGCUGACCAUUCCACCGACUUGGUCACUGCGAGGACCCUUCCUUCCAACAAACCGCAGGAACACUGGAUCAAACGUUAUUUUGUCAGCUUAAUUCACAAACCUACUGCAAUUACUGAGGGUUCCUUUACUAGAUCACCCGUGAGGAACACGUGUCGGUCCUGAACGGCUGUAAUAUCAAAAGGUCUGGGAAUAGUGAGGUUCAUCGCGCACGCCACAGGUAAUUCAGGAAGAAUUUCACAGACGUCUAUAGAAAGUUCUGAAAGCUGUGCCUGUUACUCAACUGCAAGGAAAACAUCAAAUAGUACUGACACAAGCGCUAAGUAAACGCAGACGUGGAAGACGUAAAAAUAAAUCUUCCAAAACGCCUUACAGGACCACCAGGCAAGACUAAGAGAUCGCUACUAUCGCUGAUAUCAAGAUAGUAAUCUUGGUGGAAACAGACAAUAGAGCAGAGAUUAUCAGAGCUGAUGACCUUUUAAUGCCUGCAGUGAUUUGACAGUGCUGGUAGCCUUGGGAGACAGGGAGAUCUGUCCUGUGAUCGCUUAUAAAAUACUACCCAAGUUACUCGAGGUAAGAAACUGCCGAGAAACGCUGAUUGGUUUUGCUUACCUAUUGCUAAGCCAUUGCCAAAGUUGUGAAUGCCAUCUCCCGUGAUUACCGCCUGUAUAAUCGAAGAAUAGUAGGAUGUUAUAAUCACAAAAUAAACAAGAGAGUUAGGCAAAGUAGACUAUGAUAACAAAAAAGAAUAAAAGGAGGGCUUACCCCUAUCCUGGGCUCACCACAAAACAC